UACGGAGGGGGCUAGCGUUAUUCGGAAUUACUGGGCGUAAAGAGCAUGUAGGCGGUUUAGUAAGUUAGAAGUGAAAUCCCAAGGCUCAACCUUGGAACUGCUUCUAAAACUGCUAAACUAGAGUUCGGUAGGGGAUGAUGGAAUUCCUAGUGUAGAGGUGAAAUUCUUAGAUAUUAGGAAGAACACCGGUGGCGAAGGCGAUCAUCUGGGCCGAUACUGACGCUGAGAUGCGAAAGCGUGGGGAGCAAACAGG
rnacentral:misc_RNA from 1 species